AUUGAACGCUGGCGGCAGGCCUAACACAUGCAAGUCGAACGAGUGGCGGACGGGUGAGUACUGUCUGGGACACUGCCCGAUGGAGGGGGAUAACUACUGGAAACGGUCGCUAAUACCGCAUCCCAUCGGAUGUGCCCAGAUGGGAUUAGCUAGUCGGUGGGGUAACGGCGCACCUAGGCGACGAGCCCUAGCUGGUCUGAGAGGAUGACCAGCCACACUGGAACUGAGAAACGGUCCAGACUCCUACGGGAGGCAGCAGUGGGGAAUAUUGCACAAUGGGCGCAAGCCUGAUGCAGCCAUGCCGCGUGUAUGAAGAAGGCCUUCGGGUUGUAAAGUACUUUCAGCGAGGAGGCGUUACUCGCAGAAGAAGCAUCGGCUAACUCCGUGCCAGCCGCCGCGGUAAUUC
rnacentral:rRNA from 1 species